rnacentral:rRNA from 1 species
AUUGAACGCUGGCGGCAUGCUUUACACAUGCAAGUCGAACGGUAACAGGCCGCAAGGUGCUGACGAGUGGCGAACGGGUGAGUAAUGCAUCGGAACGUGCCCAGUCGUGGGGGAUAACUACUCGAAAGAGUAGCUAAUACCGCAUACGAUCUAUGGAUGAAAGCGGGGGACCGUAAGGCCUCGCGCGAUUGGAGCUGCCGAUGUCAGAUUAGGUAGUUGGUGGGGUAAAGGCUCACCAAGCCAACGAUCUGUAGCUGGUCUGAGAGGACGACCAGCCACACUGGGACUGAGACACGGCCCAGACUCCUACGGGAGGCAGCAGUGGGGAAUUUUGGACAAUGGGCGCAAGCCUGAUCCAGCAAUGCCGCGUGCAGGAAGAAGGCCUUCGGGUUGUAAAAUGCUUUUGUACGGAACGAAACGGCUCUGGUUAAUACCCGGGGAUAAUGACGGUACCGUAAGAAUAAGCACCGGCUAACUACGUG